AACAGAAGCUAAAACCUUCUUGCUGACCGA
rnacentral:tRNA from 1 species